UACGAAGGGGGCUAGCGUUGUUCGGAUUUACUGGGCGUAAAGCGCACGUAGGCGGAUCGUUAAGUCGGGGGUGAAAUCCUGGAGCUCAACUCCAGAACUGCCUUCGAUACUGGCGAUCUUGAGUCCGGAAGAGGUGAGUGGAACUCCUAGUGUAGAGGUGGAAUUCGUAGAUAUUAGGAAGAACACCGGUGGCGAAGGCGGCUAUCUGGACCGACAUUGACGCUGAGGCGCGAAAGCGUGGGGAGCAAACAGG
rnacentral:rRNA from 1 species